rnacentral:misc_RNA from 1 species
GUUGAGAACGCAGCGAAAUGCGAUAAGUAAUGUGAAUUGCAGAAUUCAGUGAAUCAUCGAGUCUUUGAACGCACAUUGCGCCCCCUGGCAUUCCGGGGGGCAUGCCUGUCCGAGCGUCAUUGCUGCCCUUCAGGCCCGGCUUGUGUGUUGGGUCGUCGUCCCCCCCGGGGGACGGGCCCGAAAGGCAGCGGCGGCACCGCGUCCGGUCCUCGAGCGUAUGGGGCUUUGUCACCCGCUCGAUUAGGGCCGGCCGGGCGCCAGCCGGCGUCUCCAACCUUCUAUUUUACCAGGUUGACCUCGGAUCAGGUAGGGAUACCCGCUGAACUUAAGCAUAUCAAUAAGCGGAGGA